AUUGAACGCUGGCGGCAGGCUUAACACAUGCAAGUCGAGCGAGCGGCGGACGGGUGAGUAAUGUCUGGGAAACUGCCUGAUGGAGGGGGAUAACUACUGGAAACGGUAGCUAAUACCGCAUACCAUCAGAUGUGCCCAGAUGGGACUAGCUAGUAGGUGGGGUAAUGGCUCACCUAGGCGAAGAUCCCUAGCUGGUCGGAGAGGAUGACCAGCCACACGGGAACUGAGACACGGUCCAGAAUCCUACGUGAGGCAGCAGUUGGGAAUAUUGCACAAUGGGCGCAAGCCUGAUGCAGCCAUGCCGCGUCUGUGAAGAAGGCCUUCAGAUUGUAAAGCACUUUCAGCGAGGAGGCGUUACUCGCAGAAGAAGCACCGGCUGACUCCGUGUCAGCAGCCGCGGUAAUUC
rnacentral:rRNA from 1 species